UGCCUCAGUAACUGCGAGUGAAGCGGCAAAAGCUCAAAUUUGAAAUCUGGCGUCUUCGGCGUCCGAGUUGUAAUUUGGAGAGGCAUCUUCGGAUAUGGCGCCGUCCUAAGUUCCUUGGAACAGGACGUCACAGAGGGUGAGAAUCCCGUGCCUGGUCGGCUGUCCAUAUCCAUGUGAAGUGUCUUCGACGAGUCGAGUUGUUUGGGAAUGCAGCUCAAAAUGGGUGGUAAAUUUCAUCUAAAGCUAAAUAUUGGCGAGAGACCGAUAGCGCACAAGUAGAGUGAUCGAAAGAUGAAAAGAACUUUGAAAAGAGAGUUAAAAAGUACGUGAAAUUGUUGAAAGGGAAGCGCUUGAGACACCACUCGAUCUUUGGUGAUCAGCCGGGCUUCUGUCUGGUGCACUUGCCAUUGAUUGGGCCAGCAUCGGUUCUGACGGUGGGAUAAAAGGCAGAGGAAUGUGGCUCUCUUCGGGGAGUGUUAUAGCCUCUGUCAUAAUGCCGCCAGUUGGGACCGAGGACCGCGCUUCGGCUAGGAUGCUGGCAUAAAGGUCUUAAGCGACCCGUCUUGAAACACGGACCAAGGAGUCUAACAUCUAUGCGAGUGUUCGGGUGGAAAACCCUUGCGCGUAAUGAAAGUGAACGGAGGUGGGAACUCUUCGGAGUGCACCAUCGACCGAUCCUGAUGUUUUCGGAAGGAUUUGAGUAAGAGCAUAGCUGUUGGGACCCGAAAGAUGGUGAACUAUGCCUGAAUAGGGUGAAGCCAGAGGAAACUCUGGUGGAGGCUCGCAGCGGUUCUGACGUGCAAAUCGAUCGUCAAAUUUGGGUAUAGGGGCGAAAGACUAAUCGAACCAUCUAGUAGCUGGUUCCUGCCGAAGUUUCCCUCAGGAUAGCAGUAACGAUUUCAGUUUUAUGAGGUAAAGCGAAUGAUUA
rnacentral:rRNA from 1 species